ACGAACGCUGGCGGCAUGCCUAACACAUGCAAGUCGAACGAUGCUUUCGGGCAUAGUGGCGCACGGGUGCGUAACGCGUGGGAAUCUGCCCUUGGGUUCGGAAUAACAGUGAGAAAUUGCUGCUAAUACCGGAUGAUGUCUUCGGACCAAAGAUUUAUCGCCCAGGGAUGAGCCCGCGUAGGAUUAGCUAGUUGGUGGGGUAAUGGCCUACCAAGGCGACGAUCCUUAGCUGGUCUGAGAGGAUGAUCAGCCACACUGGGACUGAGACACGGCCCAGACUCCUACGGGAGGCAGCAGUGGGGAAUAUUGGACAAUGGGCGCAAGCCUGAUCCAGCAAUGCCGCGUGAGUGAUGAAGGCCUUAGGGUUGUAAAGCUCUUUUACCCGGGAUGAUAAGGACAGGACCGGGAGAAUAAGCUCCGGCGAACUCCGU
rnacentral:rRNA from 1 species